rnacentral:rRNA from 1 species
UCCGGUUGAUCCUGCCGGACCCGACUGCUAUCAGAGUGGGACUAAGCCAUGCGAGUCAACAUAGCAAUAUGUGGCAUACGGCUCAGUAACACGUAGUCAACAUGCCCAGGGGACGUGGAUAACCUCGGGAAACUGAGGAUAAACCGCGAUAGGUCAUCACUUCUGGAAUGGGUAAUGACUUAAAUCUAUAUGGCCCCUGGAUUGGACUGCGGCCGAUCAGGCUGUUGGUGAGGUAAUGGCCCACCAAACCUGUAACCGGUACGGGCUCUGAGAGGAGGAGCCCGGAGAUGGGCACUGAGACAAGGGCCCAGGCCCUAUGGGGCGCAGCAGGCGCAAACCUCUGCAAUAGGCGAAAGCUUGACAGGGUUACUCUGAUUGAUUUCCGUUAAGGAGAUCUUUUGGCACCUCUAAAAAUGGUGCAGAAUAAGGGGUGGGCAAGUCUGGUGUCAGCCGCCGCGGUAAUACCAGCACCCCGAGUGGUCGGGACGUUUAUUGGGCCUAAAGCAUCCGUAGCCGGUUCUACAAGUCUUCCGUUAAAUCCACCUGCUUAACAGAUGGGCUGCGGAAGAUACUAUAGAGCUAGGAGGCGGGAGAGGCAAGCGGUACUCGAUGGGUAGGGGUAAAAUCCGUUGAUCCAUUGAAGACCACCAGUGGCGAAGGCGGCUUGCCAGAACGCGCUCGACGGUGAGGGAUGAAAGCUGGGGGAGCAAACCGGAUUAGAUACCCGGGUAGUCCCAGCUGUAAACGAUGCAGACUCGGUGAUGAGUUGGCUUAUUGCUAUCUCAGUGCCGCAGGGAAGCCGUUAAGUUUGCCGCCUGGGGAGUACGGUCGCAAGACUGAAACUUAAAGGAAUUGGCGGGGGAGCACCACAAGGGGUGAAGCCUGCGGUUCAAUUGGAGACAACGCCGGAAAUCUUACCGGGGGCGACAGCAGAGUGAAGGUCAAGCUGAAGACUUUACCAGACAAGCUGAGAGGAGGUGCAUGGCCGUCGCCAGCUCGUGCCGUGAGGUGUCCUGUUAAGUCAGGUAACGAGCGAGAUCCCUGCCUCUAGUUGCUACCAUUAUUCUCAGGAGUAGUGGAGCUAAUUAGAGGGACCGCCGUCGCUGAGACGGAGGAAGGUGGGGGCUACGGCAGGUCAGUAUGCCCCGAAACCCUCGGGCCACACGCGGGCUGCAAUGGUAAGGACAAUGAGUUUCGAUUCCGAAAGGAGGAGGCAAUCUCUAAACCUUACCACAGUUAUGAUUGAGGGCUGAAACUCGCCCUCAUGAAUAUGGAAUCCCUAGUAACCGCGUGUCACUAUCGCGCGGUGAAUACGUCCCUGCUCCUUGCACACACCGCCCGUCGCUUCAUCGAAGUUGGUUCUUGGCGAGGUGGUGCCUAAUUGGUACUAUCGAACCUGGGGUCAGCAACGAGGGAG